rnacentral:rRNA from 1 species
CUCUUGAGAGCGGCAGACGGGUGAGUAAUGCCUAGGAAUCUGCCUAGUGUGGGGGAUAACGUUCGGAAACGGACGCUAAUACCGCAUACGUCCUACGGGAGAAAGCGGGGGGAUCUUCGGACCUCGCGCCAUUAGAUGAGCCUAGGUAGGAUUAGCUAGUUGGUGGGGUAAAGGCUCACCCAAGGCGACGAUCCUUAGCUGGUCUGAGAGGAUGAUCAGCCACACUGGGACUGAGACACGGCCCAGACUCCUACGGGAGGCAGCAGUGGGGAAUAUUGGACAAUGGGCGAAAGCCUGAUCCAGCAAUGCCGCGUGAGUGAUGAAGGCCUUCGGGUUGUAAAGCUCUUUUACUCGGGACGAUAAUGACGGUACCGAGAGAAUAAGCCCCGGCUAACUCCGUG